rnacentral:rRNA from 1 species
GAGUUUGAUACGUGGCUCAACGGAUUGAACGCUGGCGGCAGGCCUAACACAUGCAAGUCGAGCGGUAGAGAGAAGCUUGCUUCUCUUGAGAGGCGGCGGACGGGUGAGUAAUGCCUAGGAAUCUGCCUGGUAGUGGGGGAUAACGCUCGGAAACGGACGCUAAUACCGCAUACGUCCUACGGGAGAAAGCAGGGGACCUUCGGGCCUUGCGCUAUCAGAUGAGCCUAGGUCGGAUUAGCUAGUUGGUGAGGUAAUGGCUCACCAAGGCGACGAUCCGUAACUGGUCUGAGAGGAUGAUCAGUCACACUGGAACUGAGACACGGUCCAGACUCCUACGGGAGGCAGCAGUGGGGAAUAUUGGACAAUGGGCGAAAGCCUGAUCCAGCCAUGCCGCGUGUGUGAAGAAGGUCUUCGGAUUGUAAAGCACUUUAAGUU